UUUCCCAUUUGACUACCACACUUUCUCCUGAUAGAGCUUAGUGGCUAUGCUUAUGGGAGAGAUCAAAGGUGCCAUGAUCUGAGGAGGGGGAGCUGCUCCCUGUCUUCCCUCUCUAUAUGAAAUGGCUGAACAGAAAACC